GUGGGGAAUAUUGCACAAUGGGGGAAACCCUGAUGCAGCGACGCCGCGUGAGCGAAGAAGCGCUUCGGCGCGUAAAGCUCUAUCAGCAGGGAAGAAAGCGACAGUACCUGACUAAGAAGCCCCGGCUAACUACGUGCCAGCAGCCGCGGUAAUACGUAGGGGGCAAGCGUUAUCCGGAUUCACUGGGCGUAAAGGGAGCGCAGGCGGCGCGGCAAGUCUGAUGUGAAAGCCCGGGGCUCAACCCCGGGUCUGCAUUGGAAACUGUCGGGCUGGAGUGUCGGAGGGGUAAGCGGAAUUCCUAGUGUAGCGGUGAAAUGCGUAGAUAUUAGGAGGAACACCAGUGGCGAAGGCGGCUUACUGGACGAUGACUGACGCUGAGGCUCGAAAGCGUGGGGAGCAAACAGGA
rnacentral:rRNA from 1 species